rnacentral:rRNA from 1 species
CGUAACACGUAAGCGACCUACCUCGAUGUGGGGCAUAGCCGGCCUAACGGCCGGGUAAUUCCGCAUGUGAUCCUUGAGGGGCAUACCUUGGGGAUGAAACCAGUAAUGGGCAUUGAGAGGGGCUUGCGGCCUAUCAGCUUGUUGGCGAGGUAACGGCUCACCAAGGCUACGACGGGUAGCUGGUCUGAGAGGAUGGCCAGCCACAUUGGGACUGAGAAACGGCCCAG